AACUAACGCUGGCGGCGCGUCUUAAACAUGCAAGUCGAACGAGAACUCCAGUGCUUGCAUUGGAGGGAAGUGGCGGACGGGUGAGUAACACGUGGAUAAUAUGCCUCCGGGAUGGGAUAACACCGCGAAGCGGUGCUAAUACCGAAUAAGAUGGUAGCUGCUCAAGCAGCAGCCAUUUAAAGGUGGGGACCUUCGGGGCCUACUACCUGGAGAUUAGUCCGCGGCCCAUUAGCUAGUUGGCAGGGUAAUGGCCUACCAAGGCUGCGAUGGGUAGCCGGCCUGAGAGGGCGAUCGGCCACAUUGGGACUGAGAUACGGCCCAAACUCCUACGGGAGGCAG
rnacentral:rRNA from 1 species